CACAUGUUAGCCUUUUUUCCUCUGCGACACAUGUCUUCUAUUCCACUUCAUUUUGAUGUUUCUAAUUCUUUCUUGGUUCUUCCGUGCAUUAUUGCUCUGUAAAUUUCCUUUUGCUUUCAUUUUUUGUCCUUCCUUAAACAAUGGAACAAGGAUAGCUAAACAAGACAUAUAUUGCAUGCCUGUCUUUACUGCAUAUUCUCCACAACAUUCUGAUCUAUCAUUUAACAACUCAAAUGCUACAUUGUUAAGUUCUUAUUAGUUGUAUCAUAUAAUUUUCAUAUAUGCCAUUUGUUGCCAUUUGCAUUUCCAUUAGAAUAUGUCUACUAUCUACGUAACUUUAUUUGUGUUAAAAGGAGAAUUAAAUAUACCAUAUUGUUUUUAGGAUUUAUAUCAACUUACAGAUAUUAAUUUUGUAAAAUUGUAAACAACUUGUAAUACUUGCAACAUGUGUAUCCGGAAACGAGGAUACUAUAGAUUUGCUGCGUAGACCUUAAAAGAUUGAGGAACAUUGAAUUGUUAAUCGAAAUUUGUGACGUCGUGGUAGAUAUGCACAACUGUCUCUGAGAGAAAAUAAUUAUUUUUGUCCCAUCUACCAAUUAAAAGAGUUGGAUAAAAAAGGGCAAACACCAUCAAUAUUCAAAUAAUACACUUCCCUGAUGUAUAAAUCGGGGUAGAAGGCUUUGGGUUUGAGAUCCGAAUUUAAUAACAAUAGAAUACAUUCAAGUGGAAGUGGUAGAGAUGCGGGCUGAGAUGUCAAGCUGAAAAAUAGUAAAUUUUUCAGGUUAUCAAAAGAUUUGAGUGGUAAGUUUUAAAAGUUAUUUCGAUGUUUAAAUCAUAUAAACUAGAUUAAACUUUUUGCUAUAAUGUUGGGGAACUUGAGACUGGUUUGAUUAUUGACUCCAUAUUGUGAAGCAAAUAAAGAAUUUGUCACAGUUCGCCUCUCUUUAUUGAUGUACUUCAAUACUCAGUUACAUGCUUCUUAUUGUUGGAGAAAGUUUGUUUAGCUAACAUUCUAUUUUGAUUUUAUAAGAAAUGUGUUAGUCUGGUAUAGCGAAGAUAAGAUCCUUUCUUUAUGGCACUUCAAAUAUGUUAUGAAGAGAUAAGGAGUCUUUACAGAUAUAUCAAACAACUUUUGCCGUGCAUACUUGCCAGACCAUAAUUGUUAGUAUAACAAUUGAGAAAGUCAAAGGAAGAUGUUACAUGUGAAAUGCCUUACUUCCAUGAGAAAACAAAAAGAUUGUAAAGUGGAAGAAAGAAGUAUGCAUAAAGUUUAUGUGAACUGUAACUCUUUAAGUACUACUUUCUAUCAAUGUAUCUCUUCUCACGUUACUGCAACUUUCAGAUU